rnacentral:rRNA from 1 species
AUGCCGUUCCCUCGCGUACGUCGUCAACCGGCCGGCGGCCACGAGUAUAAAUUCACCCGUGCGCAACGCGACGCCGGGGAGAUCCAAGGAAUUGGCCGUCUCUCCGGUCGGGAUAGGUCUUCGGCCAGUGGACUUGCUGUACUUUUUGCUGGAGUGGGAUUUUUCUGUGGUACGGCUGGUGCUAUGGCAAAUGAAAUCGAUAUACCUUUUGCUGGAGUGCAGGUCCUGUGUGGUGGGGAUAGUGGUGUGGCCAGUGAAGUAUGGGUACAGUCUGCUGGAGUCGGUCCUACAUUUUGUGUCACUGGUUGUACAACCAAUAUAAGUGGGGUGCUGUCUGAUUUCUCCGGCACCACCACGUUUUUCAAGGACUUUGUUGGUGCUCCUUCAGGUUCGGCAAUCACCCUCUUCAUUUUUGAUGUAUGA